rnacentral:rRNA from 1 species
UACGUAGGGUGCAAGCGUUAAUCGGAAUUACUGGGCGUAAAGCGUGCGCAGGCGGUUGUGUAAGACAGAUGUGAAAUCCCCGGGCUUAACCUGGGAACUGCAUUUGUGACUGCACGGCUAGAGUGUGUCAGAGGGGGGUAGAAUUCCACGUGUAGCAGUGAAAUGCGUAGAUAUGUGGAGGAAUACCGAUGGCGAAGGCAGCCCCCUGGGAUAACACUGACGCUCAUGCACGAAAGCGUGGGGAGCAAACAGG